GGGUUGGUAGCUCAGUUGGUAGAGCAACGGCCUUUUAAGCCGUAGGCCGUGGGUUCGAGUCCCACCCGACCCA
rnacentral:tRNA from 1 species